GACGAACGCUGGCGGCGUGCCUAAUACAUGCAAGUAGAACGCUGAAGGGGGAGCUUGCUUCUCUGGAUGAGUUGCGAACGGGUGAGUAACGCGUAGGUAACCUGCCUGGUAGCGGGGGAUAACUAUUGGAAACGAUAGCUAAUACCGCAUAAUAGUAGAUGUUGCAUGACAUUUGCUUAAAAGGUGCAAUUGCAUCACUACCAGAUGGACCUGCGUUGUAUUAGCUAGUUGGUGGGGUAACGGCUCACCAAGGCGACGAUACAUAGCCGACCUGAGAGGGUGAUCGGCCACACUGGGACUGAGACACGGCCCAGACUCCUACGGGAGGCAGCAGUAGGGAAUCUUCGGCAAUGGACGGAAGUCUGACCGAGCAACGCCGCGUGAGUGAAGAAGGUUUUCGGAUCGUAAAGCUCUGUUGUAAGAGAAGAACGAGUGUGAGAGUGGAAAGUUCACACUGUGACGGUAUCUUACCAGAAAGGGACGGCUAACUACGUG
rnacentral:rRNA from 1 species